GAUUUAUGUAUCUUUCUCUCUCUCUUUACUCAGCAUCUUCAUCUUCUCCAAUCCUCUUAACAUUUCAACCCUAAAUCACCAUACCUCCACGAUCAACCAACACAAAAGUGGGCAAAGUCACAAGCUUUGCCUUAAAAGAAAUCCCAAAUACAUCAAAUUUCCGACAUCCUUUUCGAUUCUCUUUAGGAUACGACACCGUACCGGCCAUACUACCACCGUACUGCGGAAUCCCGAUGUUCCCGAUCGCACUAUCGUGAUUCCCCUUUAUGCUAUCAGGUGAUGAUACAAUUAAGUUGUUCUUUUCCACUACAAAUCGACCCAUUACUGAUUGAUAGUACAAACAAGUCAAGAACAGAAACCCUAGAAGUGAUUUAGCCAUGAUAAUCGAUUGGUUUGAGCAAGAUUAGGGUGGGAUUAAAAGAACCCUAAUAGAUGAGAGUGUGUGUUGAAAUCGGGGAUUCUGUGUGAAGAAAAAUGUUGAACGUGUAAGCGAACAAGAAUUGUUGAGUUUUGAUGAGGAAAAUGGUGUUGUAUAAAUAACGUACUCGAUCAAUUGUAGAUCAGCUUUCGUUGAAUCCUUCACUUCUCUCCAUCCUUUUGGGAUGAACAAAAACGCUUCUCCGCCGUCACGGCGGAGCUCGUCGCCGGUGUAACAAUCAAUCGUAGGGGCAGAUGUUAGUGGUGGGUUGUGGCUGUAGGGGGCAGAUGUUAGUGGUAGGUUUGAGUGGCGGUGAGAUGUCGUGUGGGGUGUGUGGAGGUGGUGGUGGUGAUGGGAAUAGACGGUGGUGGUGAGAACAGUGAUUGUUAGAGAGAGAGGUGUUUAUGUAUAGAAUAACAAAAUACAUAUAAUAAUUUAAGACUUUUUUUCUUUAUUAUGUUAAUGAUUAUUUAUUUUUGUAUUUAGAGUAAAAUGAUCAAAAUACCCUCAUGUGGGGUCCAUUUGGUCAUAUUUAACCAUAAAAAUUAACUGAGUUAGGGCUAAAGGACAUAUCUUGCAAGGGUUUGCAAACAUCGAGUAUGUUUUUUGUACUUUUUGAAGACAAAGGACACAGUUUGCAAUGUAGUGUUAACAUAAAGGACGAUUUUUGUAAUUUACUCUAUUACAAAUUUGGUUUCAGUGGUUUACUAAUUACAGAGUUGGUCCUAGUGGUUGCAAAUUUAGCACUCGGGUGAUCCUUAUCACCAACCCAUGUUAAUUUUCUCAGUGAAAUGUAUACGAAAUGACUAGAUUUCCC
rnacentral:lncRNA from 1 species